AUUGAACGCUGGCGGCAGGCCUAACACAUGCAAGUCGAGCAGAUGAAGGGAGCUUGCUCCUGGAUUCAGCGGCGGACGGGUGAGUGAUGCCUAGGAAUCUGCCUGGUAGUGGGGGAUAACGUCCGGAAACGGGCGCUAAUACCGCAUACGUCCUGAGGGAGAAAGUGGGGGAUCUUCGGACCGCACGCUAUCAGAUGAGCCGAGGUCGGAUUAGCUAGUUGGUGGGGUAAAGGCCUACCAAGCCGACGAUCCGUAACUGGUCUGAGAGGAUGAUAAGUCACACUGGAACUGAGACACGGUCCAGACUCCUACGGGAGGCAGCAGUGGGGAAUAUUGGACAAUGGGCGAAAGCCUGAUCCAGCGAUGCCGCGUGUGUGAAGAAGGUGUUCGGAUUGUAAAGCACUUUAAGUUGGGAGGAAGGGCAGUAAGUUAAUACCUUGCUGUUUUGACGUUACCAACAGAAUAAGCACCGGCUAACUUCGUG
rnacentral:rRNA from 1 species